UAGGGAAUCUUCGGCAAUGGACGAAAGUCUGACCGAGCAACGCCGCGUGAGUGAAGAAGGUUUUCGGAUCGUAAAACUCUGUUGCUAGAGAAGAACAAGGACGUUAGUAACUGAACGUCCCCUGACGGUAUCUAACCAGAAAGCCACGGCUAACUACGUGCCAGCAGCCGCGGUAAUACGUAGGUGGCAAGCGUUGUCCGGAUUUAUUGGGCGUAAAGCGAGCGCAGGCGGUUUCUUAAGUCUGAUGUGAAAGCCCCCGGCUCAACCGGGGAGGGUCAAUGGAAACUGGGAGACUUGAGUGAAGAAGAGGAGGGUGGAAUUCCAUGUGUAGCGGUGAAAUGCGUAAAUAUAUGGAGGAACACCAGUGGCGAAGGCGGCUCUCUGGUCUGUAACAGACGCUGAGGCUCGAAAGGGUGGGGAGCAAACAGG
rnacentral:rRNA from 1 species